GAUGAACGCUGGCGGCGUGCCUAAUACAUGCAAGUCGAGCGAACAGACGAGGAGCUUGCUCCUCUGACGUUAGCGGCGGACGGGUGAGUAACACGUGGAUAACCUACCUAUAAGACUGGGAUAACUUCGGGAAACCGGAGCUAAUACCGGAUAACAUAUUGAACCGCAUGGUUCAAUAGUGAAAGACGGUUUUGCUGUCACUUAUAGAUGGAUCCGCGCCGCAUUAGCUAGUUGGUAAGGUAACGGCUUACCAAGGCGACGAUGCGUAGCCGACCUGAGAGGGUGAUCGGCCACACUGGAACUGAGACACGGUCCAGACUCCUACGGGAGGCAGCAGUAGGGAAUCUUCCGCAAUGGGCGAAAGCCUGACGGAGCAACGCCGCGUGAGUGAUGAAGGUCUUCGGAUCGUAAAACUCUGUUAUUAGGGAAGAACAAAUGUGUAAGUAACUAUGCACGUCUUGACGGUACCUAAUCAGAAAGCCACGGCUAACUACGUGCCAGCAGCCGCAGUAA
rnacentral:rRNA from 1 species